GCCACAUAUCGAAGUCCCGACAUUUUUGUAAUACAAAUACUAUAAACUAUCCCUCUAUUAAACGGCCACCUCUAUUAAGCGGCCGCGGCCACCCAAAGAGCGGUCCCAAAUGUUGUUUUAUGUCAAUUUUUACCUCUAUUAAGCGGCCAGCCUGCAGGAUUUAAUUGGCACAACACCUUGUCAAGAGAGCCGAAAAUAAAAGUCGAGCUAGUUUGCUUUAUUUGUAAAAUAAGGCUUAAAAAUUAUGUUUUAACACAUGCCACUUUACACCUCAAAAGCUUUACACCUCAAAAGCAUUGACUACGCCCAGGGUCUAUUAU